UACGAAGGGGGCUAGCGUUGUUCGGAAUUACUGGGCGUAAAGCGCACGUAGGCGGAUACUUAAGUCAGGGGUGAAAUCCCGAGGCUCAACCUCGGAACUGCCUUUGAUACUGGGUAUCUCGAGUCCGGAAGAGGUGAGUGGAAUUCCGAGUGUAGAGGUGAAAUUCGUAGAUAUUCGGAGGAACACCAGUGGCGAAGGCGGCUCACUGGUCCGGUACUGACGCUGAGGUGCGAAAGCGUGGGGAGCAAACAGG
rnacentral:rRNA from 1 species